AACAAACAUAAUAUAGAAGGGCAGAACGUGA
rnacentral:guide_RNA from 1 species